rfam:Domibacillus antri strain XD80 WGS_contig_4, whole genome shotgun sequence.
GUGAAGUUGAUCACAAACAAACAUAUACCCCUUUGUUUGACCGUGAAAAAUUUCUCCCAUCCCCUUUGUUCGUAAGAAAAAGCUCCGCUUUGGCGGAGCUUUUUCU